GACGAACGCUGGCGGCGUGCUUAACACAUGCAAGUCGAACGGAAAGGCCCUGCUUUUGUGGGGUGCUCGAGUGGCGAACGGGUGAGUAACACGCGAGUAACCUGCCCUUGACUUUGGGAUAACUUCAGGAAACUGGGGCUAAUACCGGAUAGGAGCUCCUGCUGCAUGGUGGGGGUUGGAAAGUUUCGGCGGUUGGGGAUGGACUCGCGGCUUAUCAGCUUGUUGGUGGGGUAGUGGCUUACCAAGGCUUUGACGGGUAGCCGGCCUGAGAGGGUGACCGGCCACAUUGGGACUGAGAUACGGCCCAGACUCCUACGGGAGGCAGCAGUCGGGAAUAUUGCACAAUGGGCGGAAGCCUGAUGCAGCAACGCCGCGUGCGGGAUGACGGCCUUCGGGUUGUGAACCGCUUUCGCCUGUGACGAAGCGUGAGUGACGGUAAUGGGUAAAGAAGCACCGGCUAACUACGUG
rnacentral:rRNA from 1 species